CCUACGGGAGGCAGCAGUGGGGAAUAUUGCACAAUGGGGGAAACCCUGAUGCAGCGACGCCGCGUGAGUGAAGAAGUAUCUCGGUACGUAAAGCUCUAUCAGCAGGGAAGAUAAUGACGGUACCUGAAGAAAAAGCAUCGGCUAACUCCGUGCCAGCAGCCGCGGUAAUACGGAGGAUGCGAGCGUUAUCCGGAUUUAUUGGGUUUAAAGGGUGCGCAGGCGGCCUGUUAAGUCAGCGGUAAAAGCCCGGGGCUCAACCCCGGCGAGCCGUUGAAACUGGCGGGCUGGAGUUGGAGAGAAGUACGCGGAAUGCGCGGUGUAGCGGUGAAAUGCUUAGAUAUCGCGCAGAACCCCGAUUGCGAAGGCAGCGUACCGGCUCCACACUGACGCUGAGGCACGAAAGCGUGGGUAUCCAACAGGAUUAGAUACCCCAGUAGUC
rnacentral:rRNA from 1 species